GCCUGCCUGGCUCAAUCGGAUAGAGCGUCAGACUCUUAUCCCGCCAGGUUUAUAUCCAGAUCUGAAGGCUGCGAGUUCGACCCUCGCGGUGGGCU